GUGCGGAGUGUUUAAUUGUAAAACUGAUAAUGGCAAUGUUGCGCCUUGCUUUCAAGAUGGCUGCUGACAGUCUGACAGCCUCGACCGGCCUCGACGAUCUGAGUGACUGAGUCAUCGCAACUUAUUUUCCCUGACAUUAUUCGUCAUAAAAAUGAUAAAAUAGCCUACAAUUUAAACUUGCCAAUUCCAUCUGUUCAUGUGGCCUGAAACUGCUGUUUCCCAAAAUGUCGUCUCUUGCUGCACGUACCAGCUGUGUGUUUCGUCACAUGUAGAAAUACUUCACAACAGUAACAGUGAUCAUGUUGGUGUAACCCUAAGCAUGGUGAAGUCUGAGCUUCUUCAUGGCAUUCCAAUGUGCUGUGCAGUGUGAUUUGUUGCAGCCAGCUGUUGAAAGGUGUUCCUCUUGCAGUCUUGCUACCUCUACCGUUUGUAGCUUUCGUCACAUGCAGAAACACUUCCGAACUAUUCAAAUAGGAUUAACAGCCUCUUGAGAUCUGAGCCUCUUUGUUGCAGUCCAAUGAGUACAUGAAUUUUGUGCAGCCAGCUAGUGAACGGUGAGGUGAGCUGUUGCAUGCAGACUGAGGUGCUGGUGUCGGUCAUUCGAGUUAUGCUGUUGCUGUUCUUUGGUGCCGGACUGCUGGUGUUGUGCACAAGAGUUGCAUCCAGUUUUAAUUGUAAUUUGUGUCUAUGCAGUUAACCGUUUUUAUGUUGAAAAGGAACAGAAAAGUUCCUUGGUGUUGAAUCGCUGGUGUUGUGCUACAUAAGUUACAUCCAGUAUUUUGUUUAAUUGCUAUUUGCGUCUAUGAAGUUAACCGUUUAUAUGUUGAGAAUGAAAAAAAUAGUAAUACGGGGAAUUUUUACGUUGUACAAAUAAUAAACAUGCCUUCGCGAUUGGGAAACCAGCGAGGAGGAGAUUGGGGGGGGGGGGGUGUAAAUGAUUUUCAUUAACUAGAAGAAGUUGUGGUUUGUUUUAAUAAGGUA